GGAAGAAUUGCCUUGAGCUCUUUGGCCCCGGACCAGUGUCUGUCAAUCACGUGCUCAGCCUCCCGUGUGCUAAAGCUUAGGUCCUUCCUGUCAUCCUGGUCUCCUGCACUGAAGUAUGUGAGCUCUUCCCACCAGCAGACCCCCUGGGAUUGACUGGCAUAGGUGAGUGGUGACCCCAGAGGAAGACUUGCCUUUGGGUCGCUGGCCCCAGGCCGGUGGUCAUCAUCCAGGUGCCCAACUUUGGUGCACUAAAGCUCAGGCCCUUCCUGGUGCCCUGGUCUCCUGCACUGAGCUGUGUGAGCUCUUCUGCCUAGCAGACCCCCUGGCAUUGACCAGCAUAGAUGGUGAGACCAGAGGAAAACUGUCGUUGGGCCCACUAUCGCAGGGCGAGUGGUCGUCAGUCAGGUGCCCAGCCCCUGGAGCGCUGAAGCUCAGGCCUUUCC